CGCGGGAUGGAGCAGCUCGGUAGCUCGUCGGGCUCAUAACCCGAAGGUCGGGGGUUCAAAUCCCUCUCCCGCAACCA
rnacentral:tRNA from 2 species